rnacentral:rRNA from 1 species
CAGUAGCCGCGGUAAUACGAAGGGUGCAAGCGUUAAUCGGAAUUACUGGGCGUAAAGCGCGCGUAGGUGGUUCAUUAAGUUGGAUGUGAAAGCCCUGGGCUCAACCUGGGAACUGCAUCCAAAACUGGCGAGCUAGAGUAUGGUAGAGGGUGGUGGAAUUUCCUGUGUAGCGGUGAAAUGCGUAGAUAUAGGAAGGAACAUCAGUGGCGAAGGCGACCACCUGGACUGAUACUGACACUGAGGUGCGAAAGCGUGGGGAGCAAACAGGAUUAGAUACCCGCGUAGUCCCUGUCUCUUAUAC